rnacentral:rRNA from 1 species
UACGUAGGGGGCAAGCGUUGUCCGGAAUUACUGGGCGUAAAGCGUGUGUAGGCGGUCGGCUAAGUCGGAUGUGAAAGCCCAGGGCUCAACCCUGGAAGUGCACUCGAUACUGGCUGGCUAGAGUACUGGAGAGGUUGGUGGAAUUCUCGGUGUAGAGGUGAAAUUCGUAGAUAUCGAGAGGAACACCGGUGGCGAAGGCGGCCAACUGGACAGAUACUGACGCUGAGACACGAAAGCGUGGGGAGCAAACAGG